rnacentral:rRNA from 1 species
UAUUGCACAAUGGGGGGAACCCUGAUGCAGCGACGCCGCGUGAGGGAAGAAGGUUUUUGGAUUGUAAACCUCUGUCCUUGGUAAAGAAGCAAGACGGUAGCCAAGGAGGAAGCCACGGCUAACUACGUGCCAGCAGCCGCGGUAAUACGUAGGUGGCAAGCGUUGUCCGGAAUUACUGGGUGUAAAGGGAGCGUAGGCGGUUAUGCAAGUUGAAUGUGAAAUCUAUCGGCUCAACUGAUAGGCUGCGUUCAAAACUGUAUAUCUUGAGUGAAGUAGAGGCAGGCGGAAUUCCUAGUGUAGCGGUGAAAUGCGUAGAGAUAUGGAGGAACACCAGUGGCGAAGGCGGCUUCCUGGUCUGCAACUGACACUGAGGCGCGAAAGCGUGGGGAGCAAAC